rnacentral:rRNA from 1 species
ACUCAAAUGAAUUGACGGGGACCCGCACAACCGGUGGAGCGUGUGGUUCAAUUCGAGACAAAACGAAAAACCUCACCAAGGCUUGACAUCUUAGCGUUCUAUUUCUAGGAAACUAGAGAAAUCCGUAAGGAGGCUAGGACAGGUGUUGCAUGGCUGUCGUCAGCUCGUGCCGUGAGGUGUUCCCUUAAGUGGGGAAACGAGCGCAACCCGCGUUUAAUGUUACAUAUUCAUUAAAGACUGCUCCAAUUUUUUGGAGAGGAAGGAGCGGAAGACGUCAAGUCAGCACGGCCCUCAUGCCUUGGGCUACACACACACUACAAUGGCGAAAAACAACGAGCUGCAAGCACGCAAGUGCAAGCGAAUCUCUGAAAUUUCGCCCCAGUUCAGAUUGGGGGCUGCAACUCGCCCCCAUGAAGUCGGAAUCGGUAGUAAUCGCGGAUCAGCAUGCCGCGGUGAAUACGUUCUCGGGUCUUGUACACACCGCCCGU